GACGAACGCUGGCGGCGUGCUUAACACAUGCAAGUCGAACGGAAAGGCCCUGCUUUUGUGGGGUGCUCGAGUGGCGAACGGGUGAGUAACACGUGAGUAACCUGCCCUUGACUUUGGGAUAACUUCAGGAAACUGGGGCUAAUACCGGAUAGGAUCUCCUGCUGCAUGGUGGGGGUUGGAAAGUUUCGGCGUUGGGGGAUGGACUCGCGGCUUAUCAGCUUGUUGGUGGGGUAGUGGCUUACCAAGGCUUUGACGGGUAGCCGGCCUGAGAGGGUGACCGGCCACAUUGGGACUGAGAUACGGCCCAGACUCCUACGGGAGGCAGCAGUGGGGAAUAUUGCACAAUGGGCGGAAGCCUGAUGCAGCAACGCCGCGUGCGGGAUGACGGCCUUCGGGUUGUAAACCGCUUUCGCCUGUGACGAAGCGUGAGUGACGGUAAUGGGUAAAGAAGCACCGGCUAACUACGUG
rnacentral:rRNA from 1 species